UUAUAAUAAGUUCAUAAUUUUAACUUGUGAAAAUGCCAGUUUUAAAAAAUGAAGAUGGUUUAGAAAUCAAUGCUGAAGGACAAUCGUUUGGAAAUUUGCAACUACCUUUUGCUAAAAUAAAAAAAAUAAUUAAGUUAAAUUUAGAUAUAGAGUUAGCAAGUGGAGAUGCCGUUUAUGUUAUGGGAAAAGCUACGGAACUUUUUAUUGCCCAUUUAUGCAAGGCCUUUUACAGUGCCGUUAAUAAAUCAAGUCUCACAAAAAAGCAAUUAGAUGACUACUGCCGUAAUGAAAAGUGGACGGAAUUUUUAGAUGAUAUUUAAAAUACAUGAUAUAUAGUUAUUAGAUUUUCUAAAUCAUCAUAUUUAAAAAGAUGUGCUAAAAGAUUAAUAUUUCAAAAUAAACUGUUCGCAAUAUACAUAAUCCAAAGAAGACAUUAUCAAACGCCACCCAAACACAUUUACCAAAUGAACUAACAGAGAUAACAUUUUAUUUCAUAUAUUAAUCUUAUUUUUUAUACAACGAUUUUAUAAUAAUUUUACUUACGAUUUUGAUGAUUUAAUAAAAAAAAA